CAGCCUUCGGGAGGCAGCAGUGGGGAAUCUUGCACAAUGGGCGAAAGCCUGAUGCAGCCAUGCCGCGUGAGUGAAGAAGGCCUUAGGGUUGUAAAGGCUCUUUCGCUAGGGAUGAUAAUGACAGUACCUAGAAAAGAAGUUCCGGCUAACUCCGUGCCAGCAGCCGCGGUAAUACGGAGGGAACGAGCGUUGUUCGGAAUUACUGGGCGUAAAGCGCGCGUAGGCGGACCAAGCACUCAGAGGUGAAAUCCCGGGGCUUAACAUCGGAACUGCCUUUGAUACUGUUGGGCUAGAGUUCGAGAGAGGUAAGUGGAAUUCCCAGUGUAGAGGUGAAAUUCGUAGAUAUUGGGAAGAACACCAGUGGCGAAGGCGGCUUACUGGCUCGAUACUGACGCUGAGGUGCGAAAGCGUGGGGAGCAAACAGGAUUAGAUACC
rnacentral:rRNA from 1 species